ACCUUGAUUCAUCUAGAAUGUUGGUUGUGAACAGUUUCACAGUUUUUGAAGCAUAUCGCUGAAAUGCUUUCCCAAAGAAUGGUGCCAGUUUCUACUCUAAUCAGUAAUAGAGGACACGUGGGUAGUGUGUCGGGAUGGAGGAGGAACUUUGGUCACAGAAUGGCAACAACAAAAAGAGAAAGGCAUUGCCUUUCUGAAUCCCAGACAGGAGACUCCCCCUGUUGGAAAUGCUGUGUGGGCUCUGGUAAGAAGGCUGCAUAGUCAUCUUCUAUCCUUGCCUACUUCUUGAUCAAAAGAUGAAUAAACUCACUCUGGUGAACACGUUUAUUCAGUGUGUGGAGUUUACAAAAGGCUCAAGUCCCAUCACGAUGAAAGGAGGGGAUGUGACUUUACACAUUUGUGGAGCUGGCUGAGCAGGCUCCCUAAGACUGUUGUCUUUGCGUCUGAUGCUGGAGCUGGAAGUCCACAGGCCUGCCAGUUGGAGAAGGUGAAGAAGGAAUGGGGAAAGUGGAGCACUUGCAGACCCAGCCACUGCUUCAUGCCAACAAAAAAAAGCAAUGAGAACCUGGGCUGAGACAGUAGCAAAUGCACCCUUGCAUUUGGGAAAGUAGCCGGGUGGCAAAAUCAUGGGUGUGAAACAAUGCUCUCAAAUGUAGAAGCCAGAAGAACCCAGAGAGGGUAGAGGAAAUGUCUUCCUCCCCUACAGUAACAAACGAGGUGAGUACUAGGAUUACACAGCUGCUGUACUGAGGGAGAUUCUAGGCAAUGGUGCAAGAGGGGGACCCAGGUGGAACCCAGCAGACUCUGAUUUGAGGUGAAGGAUCUGAGAAUUUAGAGAGAACAAGGCAGUUAGGGUUUUCAGGA
rnacentral:lncRNA from 1 species